AUUAUUUUGAGUGGAAGAGUCACGAGAAAACAAAUCAGAUGAAGCAUAGCUAAAACCAUUUUCAUGCAUCUAUCCCAGAGAUAACACUUAAAGGAUACUUUUGUGAAGAACAGUAAGUCUGUCUAAAUAAAACUGGGAAGCAUCCAUGAUGCUUCAUAAUCUUCAGCAAGUACAGACAAGGCUCAGACAUUUCAGUACUUUUCUUAAAAAAGAAUGUGACUAAGGAGAAUGCAACUCCAUGAGGAAAAAUGUCUCUGCCUCUCAGUUCACUGGGAAUGACUUGAAAAGGCUGCUCUCAGAAACACCAACAGAUUCGAUGGUGCUGACAGCGUGUGACAACUUCUCCAAGUUGAGAUACGGCAGCCACACAAGCAUAAAAGCCCCUGACAGUUAGAGAUACAUUACAUAGUCCUUGUUGGCCUUCAGCCAUGCUUUCUUUUUUUUUCACUGGGUUAUUUUAAGACUACAGGAACCUAUGUUUCCCUCUAAUCAGAUCUCUGUAGCUAGGUACUCUUGAAGUCCCAGGACUUCAGAAGAUAGAAGAGCAAAGGAAACACAGUCAGGGAGCCUCUGACAGACAGACAAUGUAUUGAUGCUGAGAAGACAAUAAAGAUGUGAACAUCCAGGACAUAGAACAGAUGAGACUAAGCAACCAGAGAAAAGCAGGGAGAAAAAAUUCCUAGAAUACUCCUUUUACUGUUCUUUUAUGUAUUUGACAUAGUUGUUAUGAAUCCAAAAGAUCGGGUUCAGAAAAACAGAGCCUGCUCUUUGCAGCACAUUGGAAACUAGCAUGCAGAUUAUUUAGCAGUGAGAAAAGUCAGUAAAAAGGAAACUCAGUGUUUGGAAGGACAUGAAAAGAUCUAGAAAUGUUCCAGUAAGUUCUACAUGCCCUAGUAAGUUUUGUUGCAUUGGCUGUAAUGGAUCAAUUUGCAGCAAAGAAAGAAUUUUUGAUUUGCUUACUGAGCCUCAACUCAUUGCAGUCUGUAUCUGCCCAGUGGAUAGGUGUGACUGUAAACAAGAGACCUGUGACUACUGUUGAUACAGAUGUGCAUUUGAACAAUGAUUUUGAGGCUGAAGUUAAGACAUGAGCAUGCACACUACUUAGGAACAACACAUAAACACACGAAUAUGUGGAUUCCUAAGCAUUCAAGGAAUGACAAAGGCUUAUUAAAUGAUAAAGGCUUAUUAAAGCUGUCUGGAUUGGAAGAAGUUGUAAUGUUAAAUGCAGGCAGCACAUAUGAGUGGUAAUAGUUUAAAGUUUUGUGUGGUUUUCUGUUGACUUACUGUCAUUUGAGUUUAACCCUGCCUGAAUGUGCCGGUGUUGGUACUUGUAUUGUCACUUUAAAUCAAAUUCUUCCAGUUUAUGAAUAUUAAAACAUCCCUACAGGAUGUAAGGAUGUAUUGUGGCUGUCCUCCACAAUAUAAUGCCAUACUUCACACAGGUACAAGACUGGAUCUGGUUGUACUGUAUGUAUGUAUGUGGAUAUGUAUUUCUUUGCUUAAACUUUGAUGACUGCUUGAUGCUUUUUUUGGAAAAUAGAAUAAAUGGUGCA